AGUGAGAUAGCUGAGUCAAAUGGUGGUUCCAUUUCCAGAUUUCCAAGGAAUCUCCAUACUACUUUCCAUAUCGGCUGCACCAAUUUACAGUCCCACCAGCAAU
rnacentral:pre_miRNA from 1 species